AACACAUGCAACAGUCAGGAAUUAGGCACACUGCUAAACUCUCACCCUUUCCAUAAGUUCUCCAAUAGGAGGAAACUGAUAUUUUUCCCCCCAUAUGUCUAGUCAGUCCCUCAAAGCAACCCCAAUCAUUGAUUUCUCAGGCAAAGCAUGAAAAGCUGCUUUCUCAUCACUCAGAGUUGUGCACACUAUACACACACGAAAGCCAACAGAAGACUGAGAGACUCUGUCAGAGAAGUUUAACAUCCAACAGAAACCAAGCUAGUCUAAGACUUACUUCUUAAUUAAUUGUGACAGGUUUACGUGACAUAGAGACAGUGGUCACAUUAACAAGCAGGUGAUGAAGGUCUCUGAGGCAGUUGUGAUUGAUUUUAUGUUGAAGACGUUAAGUCUGAGCAGCACCAGGAGCUAAGUUGUUAACCUUACAGCAGCUAAUUUGAACAUGCCUGAUUUAAAGGGAAAGUGGAGUAUUUGCAACGUUAACAAGUGAAUACAGAAGACAUCUAAGAGAGCAAGAAGUUACCAAAAUACAGUAAUCAGCCCAGAAAGAAAGCAACAAUAUCUCAAGAAUCAAAAAACCCACAAAUCUUCAAAUUCAAAAUUACCCUGAAUAUUCAAGAGAUCCCAGUAGAAGCUGAUAGAAGUUAGAUCCUCCCAGAAACCUUGGUAUCCACAGAGUGCUCCUGAUGAACUUCAAGUCAGAAAUACAUUGGUAAUAUCUAUGGUACAAACACCCAACAACCUAACAUAUCCUUUGUUUUCUCUCUCUUGCCACUGUAUUUCAAACUAAAGUUAAAACAACUUCUCAAACUGUUAACGUAAAGAAAUCUUAAGU